AGUAGGAAAGGGGUCAGUGACACUGGCAGUUUCAUUUCUGGUGGGCACCCUCUGCUACUUCAGAAGGCUACAUUUAUAUUUAGGGCACCGGCUGAAAAGGUGGAUUGGAUAUCUGCAGAGGAGAUUCAAAAGGAACCUCAGUGUGGAGGCAGAAGUUGAUUUACUCAGUUAUUGUGCAAGAGAAUGGAAAGGAGAGACACCCCAUGCCAAGCUGAUGAGGAAGG